AUGUGCCUACGGGAGGCAGCAGUGAGGAAUAUUGGUCAAUGGGCGCGAGCCUGAACCAGCCAAGUAGCGUGAAGGAUGACUGCCCUACGGGUUGUAAUCUUCUUUUAUAAAGGAAUAAAGUGAGGCACGAGUGCCUUUUUGUAUGUACUUUAUGAAUAAGGAUCGGCUAACUCCGUGCCAGCAGCCGCGGUAAUACGGAGGAUCCGAGCGUUAUCCGGAUUUAUUGGGUUUAAAGGGCGCGUAGAUGGGUUGUUAAGUCAGUUG
rnacentral:rRNA from 1 species